UGAUGGUUGAAAUUGUCAAGUAUGUUUAUGUUAUUAUUAUAUUUCUUUCUCUAUUUCUUGUUGCAACGAAUAUUGAAGGAAAGUUUCAGAAAUGCUGUAAAGAUUCAGAUUGUUUAGAUUUAUUGUACUGUCGAACUCCUUUAAAACCAAAGUGCAUUCACGAAAGGAUGUGUAAAUGCAAAGCAGUGUUCACCUCAAAUGAUUAUGUGCUUACAUGAUUAUGUAUAAUAACCAUACCUAAAAGAGUACACAAACAACUAGAAUAUUCCAUAAGUUGUUAUUUUGUUAUUGGGUUAGUACCCCAGUAGUUUUAAUUUUUUGUUUUUCUUCUAAUUUGAAGAAUUUUUAGGUAUGACUUUGUACUCUAAGAUGAUGGCAAAAAAAAUAAUGCAAAAAUAAUAAUAUUUGAUUA